GCUCCUGUAGCCCAAUUGGAACGAGGCGCUGAUCUUAAAAAUCAGAUGGUACUGGUUCAAAUCCAGUCAGGAGCA
rnacentral:tRNA from 1 species